GCUGUAUAUGUGUCGGUUGCAGGGCCGGAUUAAGAGCACACUGGGCCUGGUGCUGACAAUUAUGAUGGGCCUAAUUACGUAAUUUUAUCGACCAAAAACACUAAAACAGUCAUACAUCCCAAGCGUCAUGUAUCUGAUGGAGAUGGUGCUGGAGGGAAACUCAUAGGAUGCAGCUAUAAGAAAAAACAUACUCUAUGCUUAUCUCUCUCUAAUUUAUGCUUUCAUCUUUCAAGUAAAUCCAUACCCCCUAACAGCAGUGUCCAGUGAAGCAGGAAGUCAAUAGGCGGGGUAAAAGGGUGGGCCACUGGUGCGAAUCACGUGACCAGACCUGCCAAAAGGGGUGAACAUGCCCAAAAAGGGGGCAUGUCUGUCCAAAGAAUUUGAAGGACAGCCUGGCAUGAAU